rnacentral:rRNA from 1 species
AACGAACGCUGGCGGCAUGCCUAACACAUGCAAGUCGAACGAGACCUUCGGGUCUAUUGGCGCACGGGUGCGUAACGCGUGGGAACCUGCCCUUAGGUUCGGAAUAACUCCCCGAAAGGGGUGCUAAUACCGGUUAAUGUCUUCGGACCAAAGAUUUAUCGCCUUUGGAUGGGCCCGCGUUGGAUUAGCUAGUUGGUAGGGUAAAAGCCUACCAAGGCGACGAUCCAUAGCUGGUCUGAGAGGAUGAUCAGCCACACUGGGACUGAGACACGGCCCAGACUCCUACGGGAGGCAGCAGUGGGGAAUAUUGGACGAGGGGCGAAAGCCUGAUCCAGCAAUGCCGCGUGAGUGAUGAAGGCCUUAGGGUUGUAAAGCUCUUUUACCCGGGAUGAUAAUGACAGUACCGGGAGAAUAAGCUCCGGCUAACUCCGUG